rnacentral:rRNA from 1 species
UACGGGGGGGGCAAGCGUUGUUCGGAAUUACUGGGCGUAAAGGGCGCGUAGGCGGCCUUCUAAGUCGGACGUGAAAUCCCUCGGCUUAACCGAGGAACUGCGUCCGAUACUGAAAGGCUUGAAUCCGGGAGAGGGAUGUGGAAUUCCAGGUGUAGCGGUGAAAUGCGUAGAUAUCUGGAGGAACACCGGUGGCGAAGGCGGCAUCCUGGACCAACACUGACGCUGAUGAGCGAAAGCCAGGGGAGCAAACGGG